CGCAGCCGCGGUAAUUCCAGCUCCAAUAGCGUAUAUUAAAGUUGCUGCAGUUAAAAAGCUCGUAGUUGAAUUUCGGGACCAUCAUGUUGGUCGUGCCUCGGUACGUACUGGCAUUGUUGGUUUCUCCCUUCUGACGAACCAUGAUGUCAUUUAUUUGGUGUCGUGGGAAAUCAGGACUGUUACUUUGAAAAAUUAGAGUGUUUAAAGCAGGCUCACGCUUGAAUACAUUAGCAUGGAAUAAUGAAAUAGGACGUUUGAUUCUAUUUUGUUGGUUUCUAGGAUCGACGUAAUGAUUAAUAGGGAUAGUUGGGGGCAUUAGUAUUCAAUUGUCAGAGGUGAAAUUCUUGGAUUUAUUGAAGACUAACUACUGCGAAAGCAUUUGCCAAGGAUGUUUUCAUUAAUCAAGAACGAAAGUUAGGGGAUCGAAGACGAUCAGAUACCGUCGUAGUCUUAACCAUAAACUAUGCCGACUAGGGAUCGGAUGAUGUUAAUUUUUAAUGA
rnacentral:misc_RNA from 1 species